AUCUCUCCCUCUCUCUCCCUCUCUCUCUCUCUCUCAUAACCACUCAGUCUGUCUCGGCCAAAACCGCUCAUUCUCUGUUCUCAGUGACGAAGAACAGUGAAGAACGACAGGUUGGCCUUGGUGAUGACCAACCGCGAUGGAGAACUGAGAUGGUAGUGACGAUGAACCGAGACAUUAGCACUGAACAGAGAUCAAUGGUGUGUAUCUGGUUUUACGGUUUUUUUGAGGGUUUGUUCUGAUUUUUGGAGUUCUACAAUCUUUUGUAAUUUUUGCUUCUUACUAUGCUAGAGUUUUCUUUUUUAUUUUGCAUUUUGCUUUAUGAUUUUGCAUCUUGCUUUGUUAGGGUUUGUUGAUUUUGCAUUUUGUUUUUGAAUUUUGGGCAUAAAACAGAUGAAAUCAUCAUGUUUUGUCUUGUUUUCUCGAAAGUUGUGUAGGAUAUGUGAGAUAGUGUUGUGGUUAGGCUUGGUUAAAAUUAUAUGUUGUAUAUUUGAACCAGAAAGUUAAUGUGUUUUGUUGAGGUUAAUACUUCCAUUCCUUAUAGUACUUUAGUUCUUUUUUAGGAUAAUUUUGCAAAACUUUAGCAUGGAAUUGAAACAGUUUUGGACUAAUUUAACAUACAAUCGAUGGGCAAAAAAAUUGUCUUAGCUUAGCUGUUUCAGCAGCAAAUUGCUGUAGUCUUGGCUAAGAAAUUUUUAAUUGGUGAUUGCUAUGCAUGCUACUUUUAUUGUUUCAAAUCUAAAUUUUAAUACGAGUUUCAUCUAUUUUGUUGUUUGGAAUAGUAUGAUGAUCAUAUAUAUUUUAGUAUUUUAACUCAGUUGCUGAUGUUAUUAUUUUGGUUUAAUUAAUUUCUAUUUACACCUUUCUUUUGUGCAAAUAAAUACCACUGCUUGAUGACCUUUGAGAAUGAUUAAAGUUAAGAAAUAAAACUAGCUAGAAAAGGGGCUAAGAAAUCAAAAGCUAGUUGCACCUUUGAAAGACCUUUUUUUUUAAACUUCUUAGAAGUGCAAGUAUUUUUGCGGCAGCCCCGCUGACCUCCACUUCCUCAUUGGUGGCAGUUUUUCCUUCUAGUAUAGCAUGUGUUUCUGUUACUUUUUCUUUUCUUAAGUUUAUUAAUCCUCUGCUAGGUUAAGUUAACUUCUUAAGAUGCCAAUAUAGUGAGAUCUUUGUUCUUGUUGUUUACUUUGUUAGUUGUUGUUUGGGGAUUGGGGUAUUUUUUGAGGGUAAAGAGAAGAGAAGAGAAGAGAAGAGAAGAGAUGUUGAACAUUAAGAGGGUUUUCAAUGCUGUUUCGAAUUAUCAAAAAAGAGGAGGGGGAGAGGCUACUCACCCUGUAGGAGGAUGUGGUUACAGUUGCCCAAAAACUGCUGCAUUCAAGUACCGUACUACCGAUUAUGUCACUGAUAAUGCUGCUUGAUGUUCGUGUCACUGCUGGUGUUGCUGGCUAUUCGGUAGCUGCUAUAGCUCCUGGUGUUGGAUUAUUGCCACUCUCAAGGAAUAAUGCAUUUGGAUGCAAUGUCACUUAAUGUAAUGGUUGACCCUAAGCAGCGCAAGCUUCAAUUCGCCUAAUAGAUUGGGAGCUUCCAGAGUUGUAUAAUAGACACAUUACUCUUCCUUAGUCAUUAAGCAUUUUAUAGAUACAUCUUUUAUUAUUGCUCUAGUGCUAUCCAUGUUCCUUUUCAUGGACGUUGGUCCAAAUUUUUUUCCAUUGAAUAAUUUUUAUUUAUUAAUGUUAUGAGUUUAGGUUACAAA